rnacentral:rRNA from 1 species
AACGAACGCUGGCGGCAUGCCUAAUACAUGCAAGUCGAACGAUCACUUCGGUGGUAGUGGCGCACGGGUGCGUAACGCGUGGGAAUCUACCCUUGGGUUCGGAAUGACAGUUAGAAAUGACUUCUAAGACCGGAUGAUGACGAAAGUCCAAAGAUUUAUCGCCCAAGGAUGAGCCCGCGUAGGAUUAGCUAGUUGGUGAGGUAAGAGCUCACCAAGGCGACGAUCCUUAGCUGGUCUGAGAGGAUGAUCAGCCACACUGGGACUGGGACACGGCCCAGACUCCUACGGGAGGCAGAAGUAGGGAAUAUUGGACAAUGGGGGCAACCCUGAUCCAGCAAUGCCGCGUGAGUGAUGAAGGCCUUAGGGUUGUAAAGCUCUUUUACCCGAGAUGAUAAUGACAGUAUCGGGAGAAUAAGCUCCGGCUAACUCCGUGCCAGCCGCCGCUGUAACAC